rnacentral:rRNA from 1 species
AUUGAACGCUGGCGGCAGGCUUAACACAUGCAAGUCGAGCGGGGUGAUGGUGCUUGCACUAUCACUUAGCGGCGGACGGGUGAGUAAUGCUUAGGAAUCUGCCUAUUAGUGGGGGACAACAUCUCGAAAGGGAUGCUAAUACCGCAUACGUCCUACGGGAGAAAGCAGGGGAUCACUUGUGACCUUGCGCUAAUAGAUGAGCCUAAGUCGGAUUAGCUAGUUGGUGGGGUAAAGGCCUACCAAGGCGACGAUCUGUAGCGGGUCUGAGAGGGUGAUCCGCCACACUGGGACUGAGACACGGCCCAGACUCCUACGGGAGGCAGCAGUGGGGAAUAUUGGACAAUGGGGGGAACCCUGAUCCAGCCAUGCCGCGUGUGUGAAGAAGGCCUUAUGGUUGUAAAGCACUUUAAGCGAGGAGGAGGCUCUUUUGGUUAAUACCCAAGAUGAGUGGACGUUACUCGCAGAAUAAGCACCGGCUAACUCUGUGCCAGCCGCCGCGGUAAGAC